AUACGGAGGGUGCAAGCGUUAUCCGGAAUCACUGGGUUUAAAGGGUGCGUAGGCGGCUUGGUAAGUCAGGGGUGAAAGUCUGCCGCUCAACGGUAGAAUUGCCUUUGAUACUGCCAGGCUUGGAUAAGCGCGAGGCAGGCGGAAUGUGGCAUGUAGCGGUGAAAUGCAUAGAUAUGCCAUAGAACACCAAUUGCGUAGGCAGCUUGCCAGAGCUUUAUUGACGCUGAGGCACGAAAGCGUGGGGAGCGAACAGGAUUAGAAACCCUAGUAGUCC
rnacentral:rRNA from 1 species